AGACCCGAAACCCGGUGAUCUAGCCAUGGGCAGGUUGAAGGUUGGGUAACACUAACUGGAGGACCGAACCGACUAAUGUUGAAAAAUUAGCGGAUGACCUGUGGCUGGGGGUGAAAGGCCAAUCAAACCGGGAGAUAGCUGGUUCUCCCCGAAAGCUAUUUAGGUAGCGCCUCGUGAAUUCAUCUCCGGGGGUAGAGCACUGUUUCGGCCAGGGGGCCAUCCCGGCUUACCAAUCCGAUGCAAACUGCGAAUACCGGAGAAUGUUAUCACGGGAGA
rnacentral:rRNA from 1 species